GAGCCCCAGGCUCUACUCCAUGACUGUGUUUAUGACGUGGCUGCACCACCACGUGGCUCUCUGUCCGUCCGUGGCUGGGUGUUCUGGGUCUUUCCAAAUGCUCCCAGGAUCGGCGAGUCUGCCGUGAGGACGCGGGGCUCCCUUCUUUGUGGCAUUUCAGGUUCCGGACCAGAGGACUUCCUCAAUCGGGUGACGGCAGUGAGGCUAUGCGGGGCACUGAGCAGCGUGGCCGUGGCAGCCUCCGUGUCUGUGGGCGGCAGGAUCAGUGGGUGUCUCCCCCGCUCCACGCAUGAGUCUCAGAUGGUGGCAUCACCCCUGUCACUGCAGUUGCUGAGUCCGGAGCCAGGACUCGGGCCCAGGUCCCGCUGGCUACAAACCCCAUGCCAUGUCCACGGGACCGGGUGCCUCCCACCGCACUCAUUCAGCAGGGCCGGCUCAGCACCCCUCGUCCAGGCACGGAGCUCGGCACGCAGUAAACAUCAGUGUGCAGGUUCCUGCUGAUCUACGUAGAGUCGACUCACAUCGCUUCACGGGACUCAAAACCACGCGGCUGGUGUGACAGGAAUUCCAGCUUCUCAGCCUGACACUCUGUCACGGGCUUUUCCGGCCCAGCCACCUCGACUCUGGACCAAAUGUGUGGCCGAGCGCCGGCUGGGCGGAAACGGAGGGACCAUGACC
rnacentral:lncRNA from 1 species